rnacentral:ncRNA from 1 species
GUUGGUAUAGCGCGGGUUGUAGUUGAUGAAGGCAAAGCCGCGCGCCUGGUCGAUGACGUGGAACAGCGGGUUCCAGUCGAACAUCGCCAGCAUGAAGCUGGGCAGCGUGUUGGCCACGAACAUCUUGCCCGACGCGAUCAUGUUGGCGCGCUG